rnacentral:lncRNA from 1 species
CUCUUGACUCAACCCGCCAGCCACUCGCAAUUCACCGCCAACUGCCGGGGGACCCACAGCUUGGUACGCCUGCUGCUGCUGCGGUGGCUGCAUAACCCCACCUCCUGGCGCAGUAUAGUACACCUGCCUCCCCGUCACGCUAUCGUACGCCAUCUGAGUAUACGGCGACGCCUCGGCGUACGUCGCCACAUAUUUUGGGGGCUGCGGAGGCAGAGUACUUGGCUGAGGCUGCGGAGGCAGAGUACUUGGCUGCGGCUGCGGUGGCAGAGUACUUUGCUGCUGCUGCUGCUGCUGCUGCUGUGGUACCACAUUGUACACCGGCUGAUCCCGGUAAACUUCAGACCCCAUCCGCGGCUGCAUGUGGUAGUAUCCUUGACCGGGCGGGCCGGUCACCGGUCGUACCAUUGGCGGCGGCGCGUGAUACAUAGCGCCGCCUCCGGUGGUGGCUGUGAUCAUGUACAUCGGCUGUUCAGGUGCGGCCGUCCCUGGAAACCCCACACUGGGGACCUGCUUCUCCGCCCAGUACCCCGGCGGCGGCGGCGCCGUCACCGGAGGCGCCUUCUCUGGAAGUUUCUGUACGUAAUAAUCUCCGGCACCGCCGCCGUACCCUCCGACGAGAUUCUCGUCAACCUGUCUCCGAUACAUGGCCUGCUGAUGAUCUUGCUCUGCAAUUUGUAGCCUCUGCAAAUGCCUCUGGAACUCCACCGGAUCCGACCCGAUCACCCGGUCACCGUGACUCGACCUCACCUGGAAUUCUGGUGGCGGCGCCACGUGUUCCGGUACCGCAGGCACCGCGGGGGGAGGAGGCGGCACGACGGCAGCGACGCCUCCCUUUUCCAAACCGAAGAGAAAGUCGACGUUAUUUUGGACAGGAGGCUUGGAAUUCGAGUCGGGUCCCUGGGCGGGACUGGAAUUUAGAGCUUCAACGAACCGAUCCCUAUCGGAUCUUCCACCAUCCGACCCGAAUCCGCCGUCGGGGCUGGCGUUAAAGAGGAACAAUCUCAUGCGGACGGGCCUAGCGGAAGUCCGGUAGACCCGAUCGUACUCGUGCAUCAUGUGCUCCAAGUCGUCGUCGUUGGUGACAGAGAUCAGGGCGUCGAGGUCUUCGCCGGGGAGCUGGUACUUGAACGACACGUCGGUUUCGGAGAGGGAGGAGAGCUUGGAGACGAGAGCGGCGAACUUGGUGCUGCGAUCAACGGCGAGGAUCUUAGUCUCACCGCCAACGUAGCAGAGCUGGUUGUCGUGCGGGCGGGGGAGGAUCUUGCCGCCAUAGC